rnacentral:rRNA from 1 species
GACGAACGCUGGCGGCGUGCUUAACACAUGCAAGUCGAACGGAAAGGCCCUGCUUUUGUUGGUUGCUCGAGUGGCGAACGGGUGAGUAACACGUGAGUAACCUGCCCUUGACUUUGGGAUAACUUUAGGAAACUGGGGCUAAUACCGGAUAGGAGCUCCUGCUGCAUGGUGGGGGUUGGAAAGUUUCGGCGGUUGGGGAUGGACUCGCGGCUUAUCAGCUUGUUGGUGGGGUAGUGGCUUACCAAGGUUUUGACGUGUAGCCGGCCUGAGAGGGUGACCGGCCACAUUGGGACUAGGAGAGGGCACAGAAUGCAACGGGAGGCAGCAGGGGGGAAAAUAGCACAAUGGGCGGAAGCCAGAUACAGCAACGCCGCGUGCGGGAAGACAGCCUUCGGGUUGUAAACCGCUUUCGAAUGUGACAAAGCGUGAGUGACGGUAAUGGAUAAAAAAGCACCGGCUAACUACGUG